UACCGAGACUGCAAGCGUUAUUCGGAUUCACUGGGCGUAAAGGGUGCGCAGGCGGCCGAGUGUGUGAGGCGUGAAAGCCCGGGGCUUAACCCCGGAAUUGCACCUCAAACUACACGGCUAGAGCAUUGGAGAGGGUAGCAGAAUUCACGGUGUAGCAGUGAAAUGCGUAGAUAUCAUGAGGAAUACCAGAGGCGAAGGCGGCUACCUGGACAAUUGCUGACGCUCAGGCACGAAAGCGUGGGGAGCAAAAGGG
rnacentral:rRNA from 1 species